rnacentral:tRNA from 1 species
UAGUUAUUAAUUUAAAAUAAAAUAUUAAUUUUGUAAAUUAAAAAUAUAAUCUUAUAUAACUAA